rnacentral:SRP_RNA from 1 species
UCUGGGCAGCGUAGCGGCUGUCUCUUACAAGAGCGGGAGUAAGAGAGAUGGGAGCUGCGGCUCUCGCAGAGGACCGCUGGGAUCAUGUCGAAGGCACGUCCACUCGAAGCGUGGAGUGUCUGAUCUGGGCUCCUCGGCGGAAGCCAGGGAGUCUGGGGAGAUGAUGCGGAAGGCACAGCGUGAGGCGGGCGAUCGAGCAGCGAUCACUUCCCGCUCUGCGCAGUCGAGGGACCGCGUGCUUGAAUGCUUGCCAGCGAUCAUCCGAUGUGAGCAGCUUCCUGCGACCUCUCUCUG